GCCAUGGCUCAAUAGUAGAGCAUCUGCUUGGCUUGCAGAAAGUUUCAGGUUCAAUCCCUGGUAUCUCUA
rnacentral:tRNA from 1 species